rnacentral:rRNA from 1 species
AGGGAAACGUGGGUCUAAUACCGGAUAGUAACCAUCUUUAGUGUGGUGGUUGGAAAGUUUUUUCGGUGUAGGAUGAGCUCGCGGCCUAUCAGCUUGUUGGUGGGGUAAUGGCCUACCAAGGCGGCGACGGGUAGCCGGCCUGAGAGGGUGUACGGCCACAUUGGGACUGAGAUACGGCCCAG